rnacentral:rRNA from 1 species
UGAGGAAUAUUGCACAAUGGGCGAAAGCCUGAUGCAGCAACGCCGCGUGAGGGACGAAGGCCUUCGGGUUGUAAACCUCUUUUCUGGGGAAAGAGACAGGACGGUACCUCAGGAAUAAGUCUCGGCUAACUACGUGCCAGCAGCCGCGGUAAAACGUAGGAGGCGAGCGUUAUCCGGAUUUACUGGGCGUAAAGCGCGCGCAGGCGGUUCCGUUAGUCGGACGUGAAAGCUCCUGGCUUAACUGGGAGAGGUCGUUCGAUACUGCGGGACUUGAGGUUGGGAGAGGGGUGUGGAAUUCCCGGUGUAGUGGUGGAAUGCGUAGAUAUCGGGAGGAACACCUGUGGCGAAAGCGGCACCCUGGCCCACACCUGACGCUGAGGUGCGAAAGCGUGGGUAGCAAACAG